GACGAACGCUGGCGGCGUGCUUAACACAUGCAAGUCGAACGGAAAGGCCCUGCUUUUGUGGGGUGCUCGAGUGGCGAACGGGUGAGUAACACGUGAGUAACCUGCCCUUGACUUUGGGAUAACUUCAGGAAACUGGGGCUAAUACCGGAUAGGAGCUCCUGCUGCAUGGUGGGGGUUGGAAAGUUUCGGCGGUUGGGGAUGGACUCGCGGCUUAUCAGCUUGUUGGUGGGGUAGUGGCUUACCAAGGCUUUGACGGGUAGCCGGCCUGAGAGGGUGACCGGCCACAUUGGGACUGCGAUACGGCCCAGACUGCUACGGGAGGCAGCAGUGGGGAAUAUUGCGCAAUGGGCGGAAGCCUGAUGCAGCAACGCCGCGUGCGGGAUGACGGCCUUCGGGUUGUAAACCGCUUUCGCCUGUGACGAAGCGUGAGUGACGGUAAUGGGUAAAGAAGCACCGGCUAACUACGUG
rnacentral:rRNA from 1 species